GAAACACUUGUGCAGUUUUUACAGAGCUCAUACGGUUGCAGAGAUGCUUCGUGGAAAACCUUGGACCCUGCUUCUGUUGGCCGUGUUAUGCAGCCAAUUCCUCUCUGCAAAAAAUCACGCCACCAAUCCCACCUGCCACAGCGGCCAGGAGAGAUGUGAAGAACAGAGGAACACAGCGCAGUUGGACUGGAUAGAGAAGAUGUUGCAGUGGUACAAUAUGAAUUUGAAGUAUUAUUGUGAGAUUAUGAGUCUUUUGUGCCCUAAUUUUCAGAUGCGUCCUCAAGCUCACCCUCUAGACUCCCUUACUAUAGUCGUUUUGAGGUCAUGUGCUACAUAUACGUCAUGGUGCGCUCAAGAGUGAGGAAGUCAUCUUGACUUGAAAAGUUCAAACUUCAAAUUCAGGCAAAGAUCGUUGUUACAUGUUGGGUUUAUAUACACAUACAUGUAUUUUUAUCAGCGAUAAUAAGCUUAAUUUGCAGUUUAGAAUGAGGCAUCUGCCUGAGAUAUUACUGUUAUAAAAUGAUCGAAAUGUAAAAUGUCCUUUACUGUAUGUCAUAAAAAUGUCUUGUCCCUGAUCAUGUGUUUAUAAAAUGAACGUGUGGGUAGUAAUCUUGAAUGAAAAGUUCAGUUCAUCAGCUUGAACACAGAUUGUGUCAGGAUGGCAGGUCACCCUCAGCCUCACACGUAGACGUUUGUCUGUUGAAUUAAAGCUGUUGAGCCUGUAUUUACCCCGAUAAAGAAUCUGUGAUGUGGAUCUACACUGG